rnacentral:tRNA from 2 species
GAUCCCGUAGCUCAGCUGGAUAGAGCAUCCGCCUCCUAAGCGGAAGGUCGUGCGUUCGAAUCGCAUUGGGGUCA